rnacentral:lncRNA from 1 species
CGGGGUCGGACUCGAACCAGAGGAGAACGGAGCGGAGGCGGAAAUCAAAUAGGGCGAUGCGGCCUUGGCGGUCUCCGGCGGCGAGGAGAAGGUGUUGGUAGUUAGUGAGGUCGUGGGGGAGGGGAAAGGGAGCCCAUCGGACAGAGGUUACGAAGGGGGAGAGAGACGAUGAGGAGGAGGAGGCGGCGGAGUUGGUGUUGGAGGAGGAGGUGCCGGUGGGAGGAGGCAUGGGGAGGACGGAGACGAGUUGCAUUGAGCGGGAGUCGACGACUGAGACGCUGCUGGAGGAGGGGAAGGCGAGGAGACCGGAGGGGUGACAGUCGGCGGAUCCGCCGUUGUUCCGGCUGGGAGGCCCCGG